rnacentral:rRNA from 1 species
AGUGAACGCUGGCGGUAGGCCUAACACAUGCAAGUCGAACGGCAGCACAGUAAGAGCUUGCUCUUACGGGUGGCGAGUGGCGGACGGGUGAGGAAUACAUCGGAAUCUACUUUUUCGUAGGGGAUAACGUAGGGAAACUUACGCUAAUACCGCAUACGACCUACGGGUGAAAGCAGGGGAUCUUCGGACCUUGCACGAUUGAAUGAGCCGAUGUCGGAUUAGCUAGUUGGCGGGGUAAAGGCCCACCAAGGCGACGAUCCGUAGCUGGUCUGAGAGGAUGAUCAGCCACACUGGAACUGAGACACGGUCCAGACUCCUACGGGAGGCAGCAGUGGGGAAUAUUGGACAAUGGGCGCAAGCCUGAUCCAGCCAUACCGCGUGGGUGAAGAAGGCCUUCGGGUUGUAAAGCCCUUUUGUUGGGAAAGAAAAGCAGCAGGUUAAUACCCCGCUGUUCUGACGGUACCCAAAGAAUAAGCACCGGCUAACUUCGUG